rnacentral:tRNA from 1 species
GCUCCGGUAGCUCAGCGGAUAGAGCAACGGACUUCUAAUCCGUAGGUCCCAGGUUCAAAUCCUGGCCGGAGCACCA